UACGAAGGGGGCUAGCGUUGCUCGGAAUCACUGGGCGUAAAGGGUGCGUAGGCGGGUCUUUUAAGUCAGGGGUGAAAUCCCGGAGCUCAACUCCAGAACUGCCUUUGAUACUGAAGAUCUUGAGUUCGGGAGAGGUGAGUGGAACUGCGAGUGUAGAGGUGAAAUUCGUAGAUAUUCGCAAGAACACCAGUGGCGAAGGCGGCUCACUGGCCCGAUACUGACGCUGAGGCACGAAAGCGUGGGGAGCAAACAGG
rnacentral:rRNA from 1 species